AAAUAAUGUCACAAAAUUUAAUUUAUUUCCAAAUUUUUUCCAUGCCUAUAAGCUGAAUUUUUCAAAUCAAAAUUUUUAGUUAAAAAAAUAAAAUUUUAAAUAAUUCUUUCUUAAAAAAAAAUUUCAAAAACAAAUUUAAAAAUGUGUGACCCAUGCUGCGGACCUUGCCCACCCUGCGGACCUUGUGGUCCCUGCAGUCCCUGUGAUCCCUGCUGUGCACCAUUUGAGUGCUCUCCAAAAUGUUACAAUGGUGCCCAAUUAGAUGCCAUACCACAAUGUGCACCACGCAUACCACCACCGUUACCCAAAUCUAUAACGGUUCAGCAACCGCCCCGAUUGAUUUGUAAAAAACGUGUAGUUUUUACCGAAAAAGUUAUACCCGAACCUAUGGUCGUUAAUCGUUGUCGCCAAAUAACUAUACCAAAAGUUGUCGACACAACUAGAGUUAUUAAAGUGCCCAAAUUAACGUGGGUCUCGCAAAUGGUGCGAGAACCUAGAGUUAUAUAUUAUCCCUCAAUGAUACCAGAUCCCUAUGUUGUUUGCUAUCCCAAACGUAUAUGUGAGCCCAGAGAAGUUUGCCAAUCGAUACUGUGUCAGCCCAAGCCCCAAACAUUGGAUGUUCCACCACCACGGGAGUAUUGUUGUUAUCCAACAGGCCCCAUUAAUUAUAAAUCUAGUGCUGCUUGUCCACCUUGUCCUAUCGGACCUAAUUCGCCUUGUGGCCCCUGCGGUCCUUUGCCAUGUUUCUCAACGAAUCAAUAUCCGUUGUGUGAGCCAUGUGGCCCGUGUGGACCCGGUGGUCCUUGUGGACCCUGCGGUCCUUGUGUACCUAACUGUGGACCAUGUGGCAUGACGAUGCCUUCAGGACCUUAUGUGCCCACGCCAUGUGGCCCCUCUGGACCUUGCGGACCUUGUGGACCAUGUGGACCAUGUAAGCCUUGUUUUCCUGGUUGCCCUUUUGAAGCACCAGAAUGUGGACCUUGCUAUCCAUGUGCCCCCACUCCUUGGAAUACGCAUUGUGGUCCUUGCGGACCCUGUGGUCCUCAAGUACCUUGUGGUCCCUGUGGACCCAGCAUAGGACCCUGUAAUCCAUGCGGUCCCGCUUGCUAGGCUUUGUCUUCAUGUCUUUAUAGUUAAACUAACGAAAAUCGCAUCAAUGUUUUUAACUGGUGAUGGAAUAUUGUCAAGCCCAAGGCCUGUCGUAGUCGUGAAUUACGCUGCGGCAUUAUGUACACCACAUGUGAUUGCAUCAAACGUAACGGCCUUCAGGACAAAUGUCCACGUGCUUUAUGUCAGGGUCGUUCGGCUUGCAUGUGUUUUCCAACGC